AUUGAACGCUGGCGGCAGGCCUAACACAUGCAAGUCGAGCGGAUGAAGGGAGCUUGCUCCUGGAUUCAGCGGCGGACGGGUGAGUAAUGCCUAGGAAUCUGCCUGGUAGUGGGGGAUAACGUCCGGAAACGGGCGCUAAUACCGCAUACGUCCUGAGGGAGAGAGUGGGGGAUCUUCGGACCUCACGCUAUCAGAUGAGCCUAGGUCGGAUUAGCUAGUUGGUGGGGUAAAGGCCUACCAAGGCGACGAUCCGUAACUGGUCUGAGAGGAUGAUCAGUCACACUGGAACUGAGACACGGUCCAGACUCCUACGGGAGGCAGCAGUGGGGAAUAUUGGACAAUGGGCGAAAGCCUGAUCCAGCCAUGCCGCGUGUGUGAAGAAGGUCUUCGGAUCGUAAAGCACUUUAAGUUGGGAGGAAGGGCAGUAAGUUAAUACCUUGCUGUUUUGACGUUACCAACAGAAUAAGCACCGGCUAACUUCGUG
rnacentral:rRNA from 1 species